rnacentral:misc_RNA from 1 species
GUGAGUCAUCGAAUCUUUGAACGCACAUUGCGCCCCGUGGUAUUCCGCGGGGCAUGCCUGUUCGAGCGUCAUUUCAACCCUCAAGCCUGGCUUGGUGUUGGGCCCCGCCUCCCCGGCCGGCCCUAAAGGCAGUGGCGGCGCCGCCCGGCCCUCAGCGUAGUACAUCUCUCGCUCCAGGGUCCCGCGGCCGCCCGCCAGAACCCACACUCUGCGGUUGACCUCGGAUCAGGUAGGGAUACCCGCUGAACUUAAGCAUAUCAAUAAGCGGAGGA